GACGAACGCUGGCGGCGUGCCUAACACAUGCAAGUCGAGCGAGGUAUUUAUACCUAGCGGCGGACGGGUGAGUAACACGUGGGUAACCUGCCUCAUAGAGGGGAAUAGCCUUCCGAAAGGGAGAUUAAUACCGCAUAAUAUAUACUGGUAGCAUUAAUGGUAUAUCAAAGGAGAAAUCCGCUAUGAGAUGGGCCCGCGGCGCAUUAGCUAGUUGGAGAGGUAACGGCUCACCAAGGCGACGAUGCGUAGCCGACCUGAGAGGGUGAUCGGCCACAUUGGAACUGAGACACGGUCCAGACUCCUACGGGAGGCAGCAGUGGGGAAUAUUGCACAAUGGGGAAACCCUGAUGCAGCAACGCCGCGUGAAUGAUGACGGCCUCGGUUGUAAGUUCUUUGUAUUGGGUACGGAAAAUAGACGGUACCCGAAAAACCAAACGACCACCGGACGUAACUAACGUCGCCACGCAGCCGCGGUAACCAGUAACUCGUA
rnacentral:rRNA from 1 species